GCGCGAGUGGCGAAAUUGGCAGACGCGCUGGAUUUAGGUUCCAGUGUCUUAGGACGUGGGGGUUCAAGUCCCCCCUCGCGCA
rnacentral:tRNA from 1 species